AGAAUCAACGCUGGCGGCGUGCCUAACACAUGCAAGUCGAACGAGAAAGGGUAGCAAUACCUGAGUAAAGUGGCGCACGGGUGAGUAACACGUGACUAACCUACCCUGGAGUGGGGGAUAACUGAGGGAAACCUUAGCUAAUACCGCAUAAUACCUACGGGUCAAAGGAGCAAUUCGCUUCAGGAGGGGGUCGCGGCCGAUUAGUUAGUUGGCGGGGUAAUGGCCCACCAAGACAGUGAUCGGUAUCCGGCCUGAGAGGGCGCACGGACACACUGGAACUGAAACACGGUCCAGACUCCUACGGGAGGCAGCAGUGGGGAAUUUUGCGCAAUGGGGGAACCCUGACGCAGCAACGCCGCGUGGAGGAUGAAGUCCUUCGGGACGUAAACUCCUUUCGAUCGGGACGAUAAUGACGGUACCGGAAGAAGAAGCCCGGCUAACUUCGUGCCAGCAGCCGC
rnacentral:rRNA from 1 species